GUGAAAAGUAAAAAACACGCGUCGGGAAGGUGCGCCAUCGGUAGGGAAAAGCCGUCGUCGAUUUUACCCAUUCUGGUCCCCGGAAAAGCAGGCAUCGACAGGCUCGCUCCACCGAUUGGCCGCCAUCGGAUUCUUCCGAGCAGGACGACUGCCGGAACGGGCAAAAAAAAAACGUGGGCUACAAAUUAGCCAUCACUGCCUUUCUACUCAUCAUCAUAAUCCGUAAACAUCCGGAGGCACAUCCGGAAGCACGAGGGUGGCUCAGCGGAUAGAUAUCCGAGCAAACCGGAAAGGCUUGCUAAAGCUAUCGGCCAACAAAGAAAAGGGCCACAGACGCCCGGAAAAUUGCCAGCCAAGAAGGAAACAAUCAUCAAAAGGGGUCGAGAG